UGCGAGUCAUUGUAGUAAUACAAGGCAGACGGCUCGGUAACGCGUAGUCAACCUACCCUAUGGACGGGGAUAACCUCGGGAAACUGAGAAUAAUACCCGAUAGAACAUUAUGCCUGGAAUGGUUUAUGUUUCAAAUAAUUUAUUGCCGUAGGAUGGGACUGCGGCCUAUCAGUUUGUUGGUGAGGCAAUGGCCCACCAAGACUAUUACAGGUACGGGCUCUGAGAGGAGUAGCCCGGAGAUGGGUACUGAGACACGGACCCAGGCCCUAUGGGGCGCAGCAGGCGAGAAAACUUUGCAAUGUGCGAAAGCACGACAAGGUUAAUCCGAGUGGUUUCUGCUAAAGGAACCUUUUGUCAGUCCUAGAAACACUGAUGAAUAAGGGGUGGGCAAGUUCUGGUGUCAGCCGCCGCGGUAAAACCAGCACCUCAAGUGGUCAGGAUGAUUAUUGGGCCUAAAGCAUCCGUAGCCUGCUUUGUAAGUUUUCGGUUAAAUCCAUACGCUCAACGUAUGGGCUGCCGGGAAUACUGCAAAGCUAGGGAGUGGGAGAGGUAGACGGUACUCGGUAGGAAGGGGUAAAAUCCUUUGAUCUAUUGAUGACCACCUGUGGCGAAGGCGGUCUACCAGAACACGUCCGACGGUGAGGGAUGAAAGCUGGGGGAGCAAACCGGAUUAGAUACCCGGGUAGUCCCAGCUGUAAACUAUGCAAACUCAGUGAUGCAUUGGCUUGAUGCCAAUGCAGUGCUGCAGGGAAGCCGUUAAGUUUGCCGCCUGGGAAGUAUGUACGCAAGUAUGAAACUUAA
rnacentral:rRNA from 1 species